ensembl:lncRNA
GUAGAGAGAGAGACAGUAGAGAGAGAGACAGUAGAGAGAGAGACAGUAGAGAGAGACAGUAGAGAGAGAGAGAAGAGAGAGAGAGAGACACAGUAGAGAGAGAGAGGAAGAGAGAGAGAGAGAGACAGUAGAGAGAGACACACAGUAGAGAGAGACACAGUAGAGAGAGAGAGGAAGAGAGAGAGAGAGACAGUAGAGAGAGACACACAGUAGAGAGAGACACACAGUAGAGAGAGAGAGACAGUAGAGAGAGAGAGAGAGACAGUAGAGAGAGACACAGUAGAGAGAGAGAGGAAGAGAGAGAGAGAGAGACAGUAGAGAGAGACACACAGUAGAGAGAGACACACAGUAGAGAGAGACACACAGUAGAGAGAGAGAGACACACAGUAGAGAGAGACACACAGUAGAGAGAGAGAGGAAGAGAGAGAGAGAGAGACAGUAGAGAGAGAGAGGAAGAGAGAGAGAGAGAGACAGUAGAGAGAGACACACAGUAGAGAGAGACACACAGUAGAGAGAGAGAGAGACACACAGUAGAGAGAGACACACAGUAGAGAGAGACACACAGUAGAGAGAGACACACAGUAGAGAGAGAGAGAGACACACAGUAGAGAGAGACACACAGUAGAGAGAGACACACAGAAGAGAGAGAGAGAGACAGUAGAGAGAGAGAGAGAGACACACAGUAGAGAGAGACACAGUAGAGAGAGAGAGGAAGAGAGGGGUGGGAUAGAGAGAGGGGAAGAGAGAGGGAGGGAGGGAGCAGAAGAAAGGGGGAGUGCUGCUGUUAUGAAUCUCUGAUUCGGUAGUAUUGGAAAUCAAUGUCAAUAUCAGGCCAAUAAAGCGUUGGGACAUUGAUAUUGAGGGUGUCAGUCUUUUCAGUCAGGCAGUGGGGCUGGCUACUCUUGGGUCCUCUUUACUCCGAUGGCGUAUCAUAUAGGCUGCUGCCGACAACGCUAGGACACCAUAGGUAGCCAGGACAAA